GACGAAUGCUGGCGGCGUGCCUAAUACAUGCAAGUUGAGCGCUGAAGGUUGGUACUUGUACCAACUGGAUGAGCAGCGAACGGGUGAGUAACGCGUGGGGAAUCUGCCUUUGAGCGGGGGACAACAUUUGGAAACGAAUGCUAAUACCGCAUAAAAACUUUAAACACAAGUUUUAAGUUUGAAAGAUGCAAUUGCAUCACUCAAAGAUGAUCCCGCGUUGUAUUAGCUAGUUGGUGGGGUAAAGGCUCACCAAGGCGAUGAUACAUAGCCGACCUGAGAGGGGGAUCGGCCACCUUGGGACUGAGACACGCCCUAAGCGCCUACGGGAGGCAGCAGUAGGGAAUCGUCGGCAAUGGUGGAAAGUCUGACCGAGCAACGGCGAGUGAGUGAAGAAGGCUUUCGGUUCGUAAAACUCUGUUGGUAGAGAAGAACGUCGGUGAGAGGGGAAAGCUCAUCAAGUGACGGUAACGACCCAGAAAGGCACGGCUAACUACGU
rnacentral:rRNA from 1 species